UAUUUUAAACAUUUUUUUCAAAUUCGGUCACUUUCUUUUUGACUCAUCCUGUAGUUGGUUCAACUGGUCACGUGGGAAUAAACUUGAUGAAUACAUCCUGAAAAUGGCUUUGGGGAUAAUGACAGUAUAUGGAUGUGAUUGGACGGAGGAGCAGUCAUAGAUGUACAUGGAAAGUGUUUGAGGACCUACGUGGAUCUGUUUGGGCCUACAAUGACGCCCAUUCACUGAACGGAUUCGGGAUUACCCAUCGCGAACUCAAAAAGAUAGGAGAGACCAAGGUUCCCAUCCGGAUGAUCCUUGAUAAGACAGCAGACGGUACAGGCAUCGACUCCAACACCCUAGCCUUACAGAUGAAGGCCCAUCCUGAGCUGAGGGACAAGCUUCAUGUCGUCACCUCUUGGGGCCUUUGCCUGUCUACCCUGGGGUGGUCAACUCAGAAUGACCUGCCAGUAUUAUACGCAACAAGUGUGAGUUUACCAUGGGCAAGAGUGUAGAUGGCAUCGAUAA